UACGGGGGGGGCAAGCGUUGUUCGGAAUUACUGGGCGUAAAGGGCUCGUAGGUGGCCAACUAAGUCGGACGUGAAAUCCCUCAGCUUAACCGGGGAACUGCGUCUGAUACUGGAUGGCUUGAGUUUGGGAGAGGGAUGCGGAAUUCCAGGUGUAGCGGUGAAAUGCGUAGAUAUCUGGAGGAACACCGGUGGCGAAGGCGGCGUCCUGGACCAACACUGACACUGAGGAGCGAAAGCCAGGGGAGCAAACGGG
rnacentral:rRNA from 1 species